AGCAGUAAGGGAAUCUUCCACAAUGGGCGAAAGCCUGAUGGAGCAACGCCGCGUGUGUGAUGAAGGGUUUCGGCUCGUAAAACACUGUUGUAAGAGAAGAAUGACAUUGAGAGUAACUGUUCAAUGUGUGACGGUAUCUUACCAGAAAGGAACGGCUAAAUACGUGCCA
rnacentral:rRNA from 1 species